UAAUACGGGGGGGUCAAGCGUUAUUCGGAUUUACUGGGCGUAAAGGGCGCGUAGGCGGAAUCGUGGGUCGAUCGUGAAAUCCACCGGCUCAACCGGUGAACUGCGGUCGAAACUGCGGAUCUUGAGUUUGGUAGAGGAAGACGGAAUUCCUGGUGUAGCGGUGGAAUGCGUAGAUAUCAGGAAGAACACCAGUAGCGAAGGCGGUCUUCUGGGCCACAACUGACGCUGAGGCGCGAAAGCUAGGGGAGCGAACAGGAUUAGAUACCCUGGUAGUCCUAGCCGUAAACGAUGGGUACUAGGUGUAGGAGGUACUGACCCCUUCUGUGCCGCAGUUAACGCAUUAAGUACCCCGCCUGGGGAGUACGGUCGCAAGGCUG
rnacentral:rRNA from 1 species